UUUAUGCUGAUAUAAAUAUGUUCUUUACGUCAGCAUCCGAAGCUCUCUGAAGUACAGUACAGCCUUCACGCAAUGGAAAGUUCUAGAGAAUGUGGUCAAGUACAUGAACAAGGCCAAGCUGAGAAGGUUUUCUGAACGGAGAGCUUCGGACAGACGGGGGUCUUCUAUACCGGACAGAGGGGGGUCGGACAGAGGGGGGUCAGACAGAAGAGCAUCCCACUGGAGACCUGACCGG